rnacentral:lncRNA from 1 species
CCUACUUAGGUGAACUCGUCAAAGUCAUUCUCCAUCCAGCUUUGUUCCAUUGCUGGAAAGGAGCUGCGAUCCUUUGCAGGAGAAGAGGCACUCUAGGUUUUAGAAUUUUCAGCUUUUCUGCUCUGGUUUCUCUCCAUCUUUGUGGUUUUAUCUACCUUUGGUCUUUGAUGUUGGGGACCUACAGAUCAGGUUUUGGUGUGGAUGUCCUUUUUGUUGAUGUUGAUGCUAUACCUUUCUGUUUGUUAGUUUUCCUUCUAACAGUCAGGUCCCUCAGCUGCAGGUCUGUUGGAAUUUGCUAGAGGUCCACUCCAGACCCUGUUUGCCUGGGUAUCACCAGUGGAGGCUGCAGAACAGCAAAUAUUGCAGAACAGAAAAUAUUGCUGGCCUGAUCCUUCCUCUGGAAGCUUCAUCCCAGAGGGGCACCCGCCUAUAUGAGGUAUCUCUUGGCCCCUACUGGGAAGUGUCUCCCAGUUAGGCUACACGGGAGUCAGGGACCCACUUGAGGAGGCAGUUUGUCCAUUCUCAGAGCUCAAACACCAUCCUGGGAGAACCAUCGCAGUCUUCAGAGCUGUCAGACUCGGGCAUUUAAGUCUGUAGAAGUUGUCUGCUGCCUUUUGUUCAGCUAUGCCCUGACCACAGAGGUGGAGUCUAUAGAGGUGUUAGGCCUUGCUGAGAUGCGGUGGGCUCCACCCAGUUUGAGCUUCCUGGCUGCUUUGUUUACCUACUCAAGCCUCAGCAAUCGCAGACGUCCCUUCCCCAGCCAGGCUGCCACCUCGCAGUUCAAUCUCAGACUGCUGUGCUAGCAGUGGGGAAGGCUCCGUGGGCAUGGAAACUGCCGAGCCAGGCACAGUAGAGAAUCACCUUGUCUGCCGGUUGCUAAGACCUUUGGAAAAGUGCAGUAUUUGGGUGAGAGUGUCCUAUUUUUCCAGGUACAGUCUGUCACGUCUUCCCUUGGCUAGGAAAGGGAAAUCCCCCGACCCCUUACACUUUCCGGGUGAGGCAACGCCCCACUCUGCUUCAGCUCACCCUCCAUGGGCUGCACUCACCUUCCAACCAGUCUCAAUGAGAUGAACCAGGUACCUCAGUUGGAAAUGCAGAAAUCACCCGUCUUCUGCGUCAAUCACGCUGAGAACUGCAGACCAGAGCUGUUCCUAUUUGGCCAUCUUGGAACCGGUCUGAGUCUGUUUUAGCCAGAUCAAGUACUUGGUGAGAGAACCUUUGUGGGAGCGCAGAAGUCCAGCAGAGAGACCCUAGCACUUUAUUUGGACCAAAAAAUAAAUAAUAAAUAAAUAAAUAAAUAAAUCCAAAACUAGAUGCAUUAAAGAAGGUUAGACUUCUCCUAUGGAGAAUGCAGCAAGAAAAUACCAUCUUGAAGCAGAGAGCAGCGCUCAUCAGGCAUCAGUCCUUCUGGAGCCUUGAUCUUGGACCUCCCAGCUCCAAAAUAAUAAGUAAUAAAUUGUUAUUGCUUAUAAAUUACACAGUCUCAGGUAUUUUGUUACAGCACCACAGAAUAAGACAACAUAUUAAUAUAAUCUUGACACUUGUCUACCCCACUCAAGAGGGAACAAGGGAAGUGGAGCAUAUGCAUCUGUAGAAAAGUUCUGAGAGACCACCAGAAUCCCUAUUUAAGCUGACUAAUGAAAGUCUUUCUCUUUUGAAAAUAGUCAGUAAAGAUUGGAAGAGGUAACUCCUUUUUCAAAUGCGAAGAUAGUAGUGAAAGACUUCAAAGAAUGCAAAAAAUCAAGGACACAUGACUUCACUAAAGGAACACGAUAAUAUAUCAGUAACCAUCCCAAAGAAAUGGAGAUCUAUAAAUUGCCUGAUGAAGGAUUCAAAAUAAUUGUUCUAAGGAACCCCAGCAAACUACAAGAGAAAACAGACAACUCAGUGAACUCAGAAAAAAUACAUGAACAAAAUUAGAAGUUCAAUAAAGUGAUAGAAAUUAUAAAAAAGAUACAAGCAGAAAUUCUGGAACUGAAUAAUAUAAUUAAAUGAAAAAUUCAAUAGAGAGCUUCAGACGCAGACUUAAGCAGAAGAAAAAAUCUCUGAGCACAGACAGAUUAGAUAAAAUUAUCCAGUUAAAGGAGAAAAAAUAACAAUAAAGAGUGAAGCCGAUUAGAUUUAUCGGACUUCAUCAAAUAAAUGAAUUAAUAUAUACAUUAUGAAAGAGAGAUAGAAAAAGGGGACAAAAGCUUACUUAAAGAAAAAAUGGCUGAAAACUUCCCAAAUCUUGAGAGGGAUAUGAACAUCUUGGUUCAUGAAGCUCAAAAAUCCACAGACAGGAAAACCCAAAGAAGAUUAUAAUGAGACACAUCACAUUAUAACAAAAUUAUCAAAAGUCAAAGCCAGAAUUUUGAAAGCAGCAAGAGAGAAGCAGAUUGCAACAUUCAAGGGAACCUCCACAAGGCUAUGAGUAGAUAUCUCAGCAGAAACCCUGCAGGGCAGGAGAGAGUAGGAUGAAAUAUUCAAAAUGCUAAAGGUGGAAAAAAAAAAAACCCCUGCCAAUCAAGAAUACUAUACCUGGCAAACCUGUCCUUCAGAACUGAAGGAGAGAUAGACUUUCCCAGGCAAACAAAAGCUGGGCUUCCUCAGCUUUGCUACUACACUCGCCUUACAAGAAAUGCGAAAAGGAGUUAAGUUUAAAGAAAAGGAUGCUAAUUAGUAACACAAAAACAUAAAAGUGUUCAUAUGUUUACUCACUGGUUAAAGUAAGUUGAUAGUCAAAUUUAGAAUGCUGUAAGAUUGCAAUGGUGGUAUAUAAAUCACUUUUCUAGUACAAAAGAAGACAAAGUAUUAAAAAUUCAGUUGACCUAUUGUCCGAAGAAAUUGCUCUAUAAAGAGGAAGUGCCUCCUUAUAUUCAAACAAAAUAAAACAAAAGCUUAGACAACCAUUCAGAAAUAUAGUCUGAUAGAACAGAAAGUCUUAGACAGGGAGGCCUGGUUCUGUCUUUUUCCCCUGCUAGAUACUGUUUUCCUAUAUUGGAUGAGUUCUUUAACUUUCCUUGUCUGUUUUCCCAUGCAUAAAAGAAAGGAAAAGAUUCAGAAGAUGGGUGCAUUCUGGGGUCUUGUUAAAAUGCAGGCUCUGACUCAGAAGGUCUAGGGUGGGUCCCAGAUUCUACAUUGCCAAUAAACUCCCAGGUGAUGCUGGUCCAUACUUAGGUUAAUACUACUACAUAUUCAUCCCAUUCCUAAAGGAGAUUGAUCAUACACAAAUCAUGGCAUCAAUAAUCCUGGCUGAUAAAAAAUUCGGGACAAAGAAAAGUUGUAUUCAUUCAAUAAAGGCAAUAUUACAAAAUGCAGUUGACCUUUGGAGAAUGCAGAGGUUAAGGGCACUAACUCUUCCCCCAUGUUGUCAAAAAUUUGCAUAUAAUUUUUGACUCCCCCAAAACUUAACUACUAAUAGCCUACUGUUGACUGAAAGCUUUACUGAUAAACAAUUGAUUAACACAUAUUUUAUAUUUUAUGUGUAUUAUAUACUGCAUUCUUACAAUAAAGUAAGCUAGAAAAAAGAAAAUGUUAAUAAAAAAAUCAUAAGAAAGAGAAACUAUAUUUACUAUUCAUUAAGUAAAAGUGUGUCAGCAUAAAUGUCUUUUCAUCCUUGUUGUCUUCAUGUUGAGUAGCCUAAGGAGGAGGAGGAAGAAGAGAGGUUGGUCUUGGUGUCUUAGAGGUGGGAGAGGAGAAAGAGGUGGAAGAGGCAGGCACACUUGGUGUUACUUUUAUUGAAAAAAAAUCCUCAUUUAAGUAGACCUAUGCAGUCCAAAUUUGUGUUGUUCAAGGGGCAAUUUUAACUAUAUAGCUAUAAUAGGUUAACAGAUACACAAUAUAAAAAGAUGGAAAUUUUGACAUCACUAACAUAAAAUAGGUGGGGUGGAGAAGUAAAAGUGUAGAGCUUUUGAAUGCAUUUGGAGUUUAAAUUAUCAGCUUAAAAUAGACUUAAAACUAUAAGAUGUUCUAUGUAAGUUUCAUGGUGACCGCCCCGCCUCCCCACACACACACAGGCUCUAAUAUAUACACAAAAGACAGAGAAAAAGGAAUUAAAGCAUACCUCUACAAAAUAUAAUCAAAACAAAAAGAAAGCAAGAGAAGAAAUAAUUGAAGGAAAACAAAGAAAUAAUUAACUAAAUGGCAUUAGUAAGUCUUGUCUAUCAAUAAUUAUUUUAAGUGUAAACAAAUUAAAUUCUCCAGUCAAAAGACAUAGAGUGGCUACAUAGAUUUUUUUUUUUUUAAAAUCCAAGAAUAUGCUACCUACAAGCAACUCACUUUAGCCUUAAGAACACAUAUAGGCUGAAAAUGAAGGAAUGAAAAAGGUAUUUCAUGCAAAAGACAGCAGGGAUGACUGUACUUAUAUUAGUCAAAGUAGACUUAAAUCAUAACUGUCGCAAGAGACAAAGGUUAUUAUUUAAUAUAUAGUGAUCAAAAGGUCAAGUUAUAAAGAGACUAUAACAAUUGUAAAUAUAUAUGCACCCAACAUCAGAGCAUGUUCUAAGUAUAUAAAGCAACAUUAACAGAACUGAAAGGUGAGGUAGACAGCAAUGUAAUAACAGCGAUUUCAAUACUCCGUUUUCAACAACUUCCAACACUUAUCAAGACUGAAUCAUUAAGAAAUAGAAAUAGAAAUAGAAAAUCUGAACAGGCCAAUAAUGAGCAAGGAUAUUGAAUCAGUAAUUUAAAAAAAGUCUCCCAACAAAGGAAAGCACAGGACCAGAUGGUUUCACAGAUGAAUUCUACCAAACAUUUAAAGAAGAAUUAAAACUAAGCCUUCUCAAACUCUUCACAAAAUUGAAGAGGAGGAAACACUUCCAAACUCAUUUUAUAAGGCCAGCAUUACUCUGAUUCCAAAGCCAGAAAAGGAUGCUACAAGAGAAGAAAAUUACAGGCCAAUAUCCCUGACAAACAUAGAUUCAAAAAGUCUCAACAAAAUAUGAGCAAACCAAUUCAGCAGCAUAUUAAAAAAGCAUACAUACCAUGAUCAAGUGAGAUUUAUUCCUGGAAUGCAAGGUUGGUCCAACAUACAAAAAUCAAUCAAUGUAAUAUAACACAUUAACAGAAUGAAGAAUAAAAAUCAUAUGAUCAUCUCAAUAAAUGCAGAAAAAGCAUUUGACAAAAUUCAACAUCCUUUCAUGAUAAAAACCCAACAAAUUAGGUAUAGAAGUAAUGUACUUCAGCAUAAUAAAGGCCACAUAUGACAAGCCCACAGCUAAAAUAAUAUGGAUUAAAAUCAAUACGGAUUAAAGACUUAAAUAUAAGACCUGAAACCAUGAAACUAUUAGAAGAAAAUAUAGGACCAAAGCUUCUUGACAUUGGUCUGGGCAAUAAUUUUUUUUAUAUGACCCCAAAUGCACAGGCAACAAAAGCAAAAAUAGACAAGUGGGAUUGCAUCAAACUAAAAAGCUUCUGCGCAGCAAAGGAAACAAUCAACAGAGUGAAGAGACAAUCAAUCUAUGCAAUGGUAGAAAACAUUUGCAAACCACAUAUCUGGUAAAGCCUUAAUAUUCAAAAUAUAUAAGAAACACAAACAAUAGUAAAAAAAAAAAAAACCUAGAUAACUUGGUUUUAAAAAUGGGCAAAAGACCUUUAUAGACAUUUCUCAUUCAAAGACAAGCCAAGAGAUGGAAACAACCUAUGUGUAUGUCAGUGGAUAAAUUGAUAAAGUAUGCUGUGUGUAUAUAAAUAUAUAUCCCAUACUUUAUAUGGUGUGUGUGUGUACAUAUACACACAUACAUAUAUAUAUACAUAUAUAUACACACAUAUAUAAAAUGGAAUAUUAUUCAACCUUUAAAAAGAAGGAAAUCCUGCCAUUUACUAAAACAUGGAUGAAUCUGUAGGAUAUUAUGCUAAGUGAAAUAAGCCAGACACAGAAGGACAAAUGCUGUAUGAUCUCACUUAUAUGUGGAAUUUUUAAAAGUUGAACUAAGAAAAGCAGAGAGUAGAAUGGUGAUUCCCAGGGUGUAAGGACAAUGGCUGCAUUGCAGUCAAGUAUAGGCCGAGGUACACAUCUGGCACAGCAUGACACAGUGGGAUUGGAGUGCAGACAUGCAACCCCAUGCGUUAUAUAAUCAUAGCUAUGUAGCCAUAACAUGGGAAGUUUCAUCACCUGGCUCUGAGCCACUGUUGUCUGCGAGGUGCAUAAAUGCAGCACCAACAGUGUCAGCGAGCUGCUGAAUAAAGCCAUGUCUCACCUACCUGUGGCCUCUCGAGUGUUCUUUCAGCUACCUGCCACCCCAGCGAAUCCCCUCAGACCUCAUCUUGGACUGGAACCUAAUACAGGGGCUUUGGGGGUGGUGGUAGGGAGAUGCUAGUCAAAGGGUACAGAGUUUCAGUUUUGCAGGAUGAAUAAGUUCUGGAGAUGCGAUGUGCAGCAUGGUGACUAUAGUUAAUGGUGCAUUGUAUACUUGAAAUUUUCUAAGAGAAUAGAUCUUAAGUGUUCUCACUAAAAAAAUGAAAAGGUAACUACAUGAGGUGAUAGACAAAUUAGUUUGAUUGUGGUAAUUAUUUCACAAUAUAUACAUAUAUCAAAACAUCAUGAUGAACACAUUAACUAUAUAUAAUUUUUUUUUGCCAAUUAUACCUCAAUAAAGCUGAGGGGAAAAAAGGAUAAGCUGCCAUCUAUUAAAUUUUCUCCCAAGCAAUCGGUUGCAGGUUUGUGCUAGGAAAAUACGUCACUGUGAGUUCAAAAAUCAUGCAAGUGAAUUGAACUCUGCUAGCAUAAUCUGAUGAGUAAAAUCCAUUUUAUCGUAUUAAGAAACAUUUGCGAAGGCGAAUGAAUGAAUGACUUGGAGUAGGUUUUCCCUAGCAAAAGAAACGAUCACCUGAAUUGUUCUCUUAGUGUUGUCCAUGUCUGUUUUUGUAACAGAGAGCUGGUCAAACAGCUGAGUGAUGUCUGAAAGUGUUAUCUCUCACCUCAGCUUUAUGGACAGCAGAAUUAAUACAGGAACUCAGAGGGGAAGUGAUUAGACCUUACAGUGAGAGCAAAGCAAUGUCUUGAAAGAUGCUUCUGCCACUGUCAAGGGCUGUAGAAUCUUUUAAAGGCUCCAGCCUUAAUUUAUGAGUGAGUGCAAAUCAGAUAUUAUUUUUAAGUGUCCUGUCAAGAAAACUUGCCAGGAAUUCCUUCAUAAAAUAGAGAAUCCUCUUGUAAAGCAAACCACUCCAAAUUUGGGAGAAGGCAAUGCCAGAGAAUUUCAACAGUCUGCCAAAAUCAAGUUAUUAUCUGAAUAACUUGGCCCUUUAGUGAGAAGACUAACUUGUUUUUAAAAAAAUCUGUAGCCCUAAUUAGAAACAUUUACUAGAAGUCAGCUGGUCUCAUAGCAGCAGCUAAUUUCUGGCCUGGGCUAACUUUGUCAUCACGCUUUAGGGAGGAUAACUGAAGAUCCCUGAGGAUCCUGGAAAUUGAUCAUCAGCAAACUGGUGGCUUCUAAAAGUGAAAAGAGUUGAGAGCAGUGAUCUUCAAAUGGUUGCUGUACAUUACAAUCACUUGUAAAAUCUUUUAAAACAUGAUGUACAGGGACUUUUAAGGGUCAUACCAAUUAAAACAAUAACUGAGGCUAGGACCCCAGGCAGCAGAUCUGAAAAUCCCCCAUGUGAUUCCAGUGUGCAGCCAAGAUUGAGAACCACUGGCUUUAAGCAGAGCAGGGAUUCUCAUCCUAGCUACAUGUUAGCAUCACCUGGAGAAAAUUCAAAGAACUACUGAUGAUCAGGAUUCACUGAGAACAAUGCAGGUAGAGUGUGCAAAGGCUCAGGAGGUGUUCAACUGAUGGCUUAGUGAGCAUAGGCAGUAGUUCUCAAAAUGUGGUUCCAGAACCAGCAGCAUCAGCAUCAGCUGGGACCUUGUUGGCAAUGCAAAUUCUCAGACCCCGACCCUACACCUACUGAACCAGAAUCUCCAGGGAUGGGGCCCCAGUUUCUGCAUUUUAACAAGCCUUUCAGGGGAUUCUGAUACAGGCUGAAGUUACAUAACCACUAGGAUAGUGAAUAAGAACAUGUCCCUGGAACUAGACUGCCUGGGUUCAAAUCUUGCCUCUGUUACUUGCAGAGUAACAUGGGCUACUAACCUUUUCUGGGCCUCAAUGUCUCCUUCUGUCAAAUGGGGAUAAUAAUGGUUGUCUCCACAGAAGGUUGUUAAAAGGGGCAAAAGAGUGACAUGUGAACAGGGCCUGGUAUAUGGGAAACACUACAUAGUGCUUGUUAAAUAAACAUGUUGAUGUGCUCUCGUUCUAAAGAGAUGUGCGUCUUGGAUGAUAUUCAGUAGGUGUUAUUUUGUACUGCAGCAGACACUUGAAGAAGCAUCUUUCUUGUGAUCUCCUGGCUGGUACCCUGAAGUCCUGUUAUGCCAAUGGACCAGCAACCCUCGCAGGUAGGAAUUACUGCUAGAAAGACUAUCCUCUCUGCAGGCAAAUUUCUGGAAGGAUACUAUUUUAUGGGGAAAAAUGUGAACAACUGUAGGUAAUUUCACAGUCUGUAGGGCUUGUCUCCUAUUUGUAAUUUCUUACAUGUUUACUCGUGGUGGAAAUGUGGAGGUGGCUAAGGAACAAGCAGGCCCGCUGUGUUUCAGUGGCUUUCAGAGAAGGUGGCGGGAAAUAGUCUCUUCUCAGCAGCAGCUGAAUCCCAGUGUUAGCAGACGGAGCCUUGUUUCUUGAAAGUACAUUCCCAGGGAUUCCCUUGAAGAAUGUGAGAGAUCAGCUGGAAUGAAACUGGAUGUUUUAGGGUCCUGAGGGAAAUGUAAAUCCAGCAGCUUAUUCUCAAGAUGUGGCUCCAGAACCAGCAGCACUGAUUCUUCUAAAGAGUUGAGAGUGCAUUUUAGCUGUGAUAUCUUUGUACUCUUAAGAAAUCCUCCUCAACAAGACAAAACUUGACCAAGAGCAUUCAGUUGUCUUCCAGAAGGCUCCCUUGAGGACUGGGACUCUUCCUGGAUGCACCCAAUUAAUCUAUUGAAACAAGGACUCGUGAUGGCAGCCCCUCACCUGACAAACUGGAUUUUCCCCAGAGAUCAUUUGUAAUGUUUUUCCUGAAUCUUAUUUGUGUUUCCCUAUUAGCAAUGUUAUGUAUUUCUAUAUCGCAAAUCCUAAGUGCCGCCUGUAGAACCUAACCUCCAUUUAUAGCAUGGAACACACAGCCCAUCACGUAUCCUUGCCCUGGCCUUCAGCCUCUGAAUAUUUUAAUAAAAAUCACUCUUUCCUCCUUAAGGACCAUGUUCUUUAAAAGCUUAACACAUAGUUCUUAAUAAUUGGUUGCUUUACUUGAUGUUUCUCUGUUUAUCUUGGCUGCCCAGAAGCUCAGACUUAAAUGUAAGAGUCUACUUACAGUAACAACCUUGUUGCGGAUACAAUUAAUUCUCCCUAUCUUGUAUGUGGUUUCCGUUGUCUUUAUUUAUUAUCUUUAUUUAAACCUUUAAAAGAGUAUAGGAUAUCAAUUUAUGAAAAGAAAAAUAUUUUUUUUAGUUCAAUUGAAAUCCCUGUUUUGUACCACACUAUAUUUAAUGCCCCAUAUAGUUCUAAAACUCUGCAUGAUUCAAAGCAGGGGUUCUUAUUCUGGCGUGUGUGUGUGUGUGUGUGUGUGUGUGUGUGUGUGUCUGUAUGUACAUACCUCAAGGGAGUCUCUAAUUUAUAUAUAUAAUUUAUAUGUAUAUAUACACACAUAUAUGCACACACACACACACACAUAUAUAUACUUUAUAUGUAACAUAUAUAUUAAAUAUUAUAUAUGUGUAUACAUACUACACAUAUAUAUACACAUAGUGUUUGUGUGUGUGUGUGUGUGUGCACUUUUGGAGAGAGAGCAUCUCUAACUUUCAUUAGUUUAUGCAAAGAAUUUAUGACCCUUCUCUUGCCCCACCCCCAGACCCAAAGUUAAAAAUUACUGGUUUAAAGGGACCUGGAAGUAAAUAUCCAAGAAUAGGAAUGCACACAGCUCCGCCUUCAAGUCUUCCUCCCCAGUCAGUAAACAUCAUUGUCAUUUAUUUUUGGCCUCUUUUAGGAAUCGUUCUUCUGACCAAGCAAGUAGAUGAAUUGCUAUAUAUGGAGCCAGUUCAAAGCAAGGCACAACUCGCUGGUUUUAGAUACCAAAGAAGUCCUACAGUUCAAUUAUGACCUGGGGGAGGUCAGAGCUCGGCAGGUGAAUCUUGCUUCUGAAUGAAGCUGAGGCAGAGGGAGCCGACUUGCUUCACCCUUUCCCUCACUGGUUUCCCCCAGGGAGGCCUGGGUAACAGGCAGGGUGCAGCUCCUAGGCACAAAGAUGCCUACUGAUUGUGCUGGGCCAGGCUGUGGAUGGGAGUUGAUGGGGCAGCGAGAUGCUGGGCUAGAGGCAGCAGUGGGCACCCAUGACACUCAGGGAGCUGGAUGUCAAGCCACGGAAAUGAAAUCUACCAGAGUAUCAAUGAGUCACAGCUGCAGCAUGUUCUGAGUCCAUGCACAGUGCUGUUGCCAGGAGACCCAAGACAGUGUUUUCCAAAGAUGCUUAAAGCAAGUCUCCUGAGCUGGCUAAGGAUGCACCAUAGGGUAAGCGGCACAGAGCACAUGCGCCAUCACUUUCCUCCUCCUCUCCAACCAGAGAAGUACAGCAAUGAUCUGCUUAAUAGUAAGACAUGUGACAGCAACAAGUACACACUAAGUCACUAUUCCUCUUGUUUCCCUGUAAGGGGAACUUGGCAGUUUUUACAUUUCUGUCCCCUCAUUCCCUCCUCUCCAGAGGAGGAGUGGCUUCCCUGAUUGGGGAACUUGGGAGCGACGCUUGAGAAUGUGGGCUCAGUCUCCUCCUCUGCCCUCGAGCUUUGGGAACAGCCUGCCUCAGAGGCCAUGUAUUCUGGUCUGUUUGAUUCCUUUGUACUGUAGUUUUCCCUGAGAGGACUCCUUCAUAGGAGACUUCUAGCUGUCCAGCACUGCUGUGGAUACGCUUAAUUUGGGGAUGUAAUGCUGGCAUGCUCAUUUGGUCCUCACAUCUAAGUCACAGUCUCCAGUAGCUUUACCAGUAAUGAUACUGACGUUUUGAUCUCCACUUCUUUCUAUUGGUUCUGAACAUAGGCCAGUAAGGCAGGAAUGCUUUGUAUUGGUCUUUUAAAAUUCCAACAAUUUCUUCUGAAGAAAGGGCUCUCCUAGUUUGAAAAAUCUUAAGACAAUCUGAUCUCAGGCCCUGUGGGUGGUUAACAAUAUUUAGGGUCAUAAAAGCUGGUUAACAUCAGCAGGCAAGAGAUCUUGGAGAAAUGAAGGGACAGAAGUGGAGCAGACAAGGAAAGGGUCACCCUACCCCAGCAGUCACAGAAGUCACCAAACUUCACCAACAUGAUCUUCCAGCUUGAGCUGCCUCUCCAUGUCCUCUCUCCCCGGCCAGAUCUGAUUCAGAGAGUGCCUGGGCCAAUGAACAUCUAACUGAUAUAUUGAACAAAUAGAGUUUAAUCUGGUAUGAUCAUGAAGUCAUGUUUUUCUCAUCACUGCUCCAGCGAAUGCCAUCUUGGCUCCUUUCUGCUGACUCUUGCCUUUGAAUGAAAUCUCACAAAGACAUCCUCGUUUUGGUUAUUCUUAGACAAUAAUGGAAAAGUCCUCUAGUUACAUCUAGCCACAAAAAAUAUAUAUCUUAUUUGAAAUUAAAAUGUCCAGGCCCAUGUAAUAGUCACAUUUAGAGUAGAAACCCUGUUAUCCUCCAUGCAGGCUGGCUUUCUCCUAGAAACUUGUAUGAAGUCAGGGAGGGGAGGCAUACCUACUUUCUGUAUUUCUACGGAGCAUGUUUACCAUUCUCCUUUACUUACUAGGUUGUCUUGGAUGACCCAGGGCUGAGGCAGGGGAACAAGAAGAGAUAGGGAAAGUUCUUGCUGGAUGGUCUGGUGCUGGUCUCCUCUGGCUAUGGGUCCUUAAGAGGUUCUUUUGCUGGGUCCCACUAACUACAGCUUCUAGCCUUUUCGGCUGAGGUCACUAUACUAUUUCCAGAACGUACCCCUGAGUGGGGUCACCUUUUAAAUGACCCAAGUUGACAGUCCUACUACGAGUUACACAUCUUGGAGUCACAUGCCAGUGGCCUGGCAUUUAAAUCAGAGGAGGCUUCAGCUAACAUCCUCUUGCGACUAGUGGCAAAGGGUUGGUGGCCUGGGUGUGGCUGGCUGCUAGAGUGUGGAGCUGGCAGAGGUUUUGCUGGUGAGAUGCUGCCGGGGUUUUGGAGGAGGAAGUGGGUGGAAAUGUGGGCCUUGCCCUCUCUCAGCCUGUGACAGCCUCUCUCUUUCCUGCUCCUGUUCCUUGCUGUUGGUUGCCCACUUUUCCCUUGCAUCUCUCAGGCCUUGCCUUCUUCUUUGCAGUCACAGCAUCCACGUCAUCUUUUCCUUUUUUUAUAGGAUUUUUGGCUUCAUAGAGAGGCUUGGUGGUACCAGCCUCUCUGUUAUUUUUGUUCUAAGCCAGCCACAUCUUCCCCUUUCACUUGCUAGACUGAGAGUAUUCUGGGUGACUUUGAAUUGAGCAGAGGUUGCCUUGGCAAUCUGUGUACCCAGGGAUAUUGAUUGGGACUUCAGGAAGUUCAUGUGAGCUGACAUGCAGACAUAAGAAAGGGUCUACUGGGCAGAAGGAGCCAGGGCAGGACAGAAGCUACCAAGAGGAAGGGAGAAGGGAGGAGCUGCCUUAGAGAAACACAGGAUCUGCCUGCCAGGAGUUCACAGGGUUCAGCAAAUGGCCCAAUUGUGAUAGACAAGAAUUACACAGAGGGAGUAAGUUCUAAAGCAUUUAAACAUUCCAAGCAAAACAAUAAGGGCUGUGAAUAUCGACUCAAUAAUCCUUCCUAUUCUAGGAUUUUGGAAAAACCCAUUUUACGAAUUCCCUACAAAAAGUUUCCAAAUCACUCAGAGAAUAGUGUAUUUGCCUGAAAAACAUCCAGACAUUCCUUAUCAGCAGGCUUAUGCUGCCAGCAGUGGUAACACUGUGCUUUCCCCUAAGAUGUGCAAGGUUAUGAGCCAUGGAACAGAUGUUUGCGGUUUAUGACUACCUCUGCUUAAGCCUGAUUUCUUAAACAAGUAGUAUCUUUCAGGUGCCUUCUAAUAUGCACUGACUGCAUUUGCUGGAGGCCUCUGUCUUAACACAGUCUCUUAAUUCCCCUUCCUUUUGACUGUGUGGUUCCAGGAAUGCUUGGAUUUUAGUAAAAUCCUGGCCUUUGAUUAGGGCUGAAACUGUGCCUACUGCCCUAAUGGUACAUGGCAAAUUAAAUAUCCCCCAACUUGGGUUUUGAUGUGUUUGCUCUGAUGAACUUUUCUCAUUAUGGGUUGAUAUGGUUAGGCUUUGUGUCCUCACCCAAAUCUCAUCUUGAAUUGUAAUCCCCAUAAGCCCCAUGUGUCAAGGGAGAGACCAGGUGAAGGUAACUGAAUCAUGCGGGUGGUUUUCCCCAUGCGGUUCUCGUGAUGGUGAGUGAGUUCUUACGAGAUCUGAUGGUUUUGUAAGGGACUCUUCCUCCUUUGCUAGGCACUUCUCCUUCUUGCCACCUUGUGAAGAAGGUGUCUUGCUUUCUCUUCGCUUUCUACCAUGAUUGUAAGUUUCCUGAAGGCUCCCCAGCCAUGCUGAACGGUGAGUCAAUUAAACUUCUUUCCUUUAUAAAAUUUCCCAGUCUCGGGCAGUUCUUUAUAGCAGUGUGAGAAUGGAAUAAUACGUGCAUCGAAGGGCAAUUCACGUCCUUUCUCUCCUGGGUUGGAUUUCUGGAGCUAAACUCAGGUUUGCAGGAGUUAGCAUUACUUCUUCACCAUGGAAAAGAAAAACAAGGACAGGUGGUUGCAUAAAGGACCCAGUGAUUAAAUCGAAAGCACCUGUGAAAACUCAAAGUCAAUAUUUUCUUUAAAGGAAGGGAGUGUACACAAUCAUGGUUGUUUAAGUUAGCUACCAUAGCAGAAAUGACCUGAAUAUCAAUGAUUGGCUUCAGCUGCUCAGCACGUCCUUCGGGUCGAAAAGUUGGGCAGUGGCCUCUGCCAACUUGUUUUUAAUGAGAUAUCCUAAUAUUUUGAACAACAUUGCUAUGCUUCUAUUUCUACCUUAAUGAAAACAAUGAUAUCACUUAUACUUAUUAAGCACUAGCCAUGCAUCCAGCACAGAACUAAAUAUUUAUAUGGAUUAUCUUGAUUAAACUCCUCACAAUAACCCUAUGAAGUAGCUGCUAUUUUCACGAAUAGAUGAUAAAACAGAGGCUUAGAGACAAUCUGCCCACAGUCAUAUAGUUUGUAAUUGAGUCAACCCAUGGCUGUUGUGACUCCAAAGUCCAUGCUCUUACUUAGUAUUGCCUGCCUGUCUUCAUCAGUUGGGUAGAAGGUAACUUCUAAGUUUGUGUGUGUGUUGGUGGCAGGGGUUGGUGUUUUUUUUUUUUUUUCCCUUCCCAGGUGUUUGUUAUCACAAUGAUUUUCACAAUUCCAUGUCCUGUUCCUGUGCUCUCUGUGGUGUUGACUGCAUCAGUGGGAGCUUAGCUGGGGCACCUGAGUUCUCCUCCAGGUGUCCUCUGUGAGUGGUGUCUCAUCCUCCAGGGCAUCUCCACAUGGCUUCUCUCCAGCAGAACAGCCUAGUCUUCCUCACAACAUGGCAGCUGGGAUCCAAGAGGGAGCUUAACCAAGAAAACAAACCCCUUUUCCAAUUGCUUAUAUUAAGCCUCGCUUGCUAAAGUCUCAUUGGCCAAAUCAAGUCACAUGAUCAAGCCCAGAUUCAACGCAGGAGAGAACUUUACCAGGGGUAAAUAUCAGGAAGUGUCAUUCAUUGGCGAAGCCACAGUAGAACAGUCUAUCUCAUUAGUAAUAAUAGUAAUGAUAUCUUUCAUAUAUUGAGCACUUACCAUGUGCUAGUCAGUGUGUUAUAGGCUUUACAAAAUUAUUUUAAUCAUCAUAGUAACCCAACCUAUCAGCUUGGUUUUAUUCCCAUGUUAUAGGAGAGGAAACUGAAGCUCAGACUAACCUGAUAAAAUGACAAGAGUGAAUUCAAACACUGAUCAUUCUAAGUUCCCGAUCCAAGAGAUAGAAAUAUGGUAUACAGAAAAUGAAAAAAAAUUUUUUUUUCGUAUAAUGAUAGCCCUUGGAAUUCAUAAGGAAAAAAAUAAAGGUACUAGUCAAUGACUUUAAUGCUCAGUAGGUAGCAUGUUUAGGGGCCUUCCUGCCUCAAGACUAAUUCUCUUGUAUUUGCAGCCAGCCUUUCUAAUUCUGGUAUUUUGAAUGGAGAACAGUCAAUAAACAAAAUUGGGUAUAAUUAGGCUAAUCAAAAUGUGAAAUAAUAUAGUGUAACUUUUCUUUUAAUCAGCCUCUUGUUUUAUUCUUUGGCUAAAUGAGCUGGUCUUUCCUCUGGCUGUGUUUUCAAAAAGUUCUGCUCCAAACCAUUUGGCAAGCAGUGAGCUGGAGAAAGAACGAAGGGGAAGGGUCUAUACCCUAUAAUGAUGCAGAUUUCAAAACAUAGCUUGGAUUUUUGGAAAAUCCCUUCAUGAGCAUGAAAAAUACAACAACUAUGUUCAGAUGCUUUUGCCAGCUGAAAACCACCAUGACACUUGAGAUCAGUUGCAAACGUUCUCUCCUUCCCCACCAGCACCCAGGGCUGUGGUCCAGGCAGUGAACACAGUGUUUGGCCUGUCCCAGGCCUAAGGGUGUAUGAAGUGUGGGCAUUGUUGGGUGAGCUUGGCUGGGAGGGCAGUGCCUCAAUGCAAGGGAAUCAUGUGGAAAGAUUCAUGGAAAUUUAUAUUAAAAUAUGAUACCUCCAAAAAUAAUUUCUUGCAAGCAGCAAGAAUUAACGCAUUGUGAAACAAACAGAGCUUUCACUAUUAACUUCAGGGAAGAAAAAAAGGGAGGGUGGCUGGCUCAGUGGAAAAUAUCGGCUGUAAGCUGUGAUUUUUUUUUUCUUGCCUUUCCCAUGCUAGAUGGCACUAAUUGAAGAGCUCAGUUGUUUGGGGAGGGGGUUUUUGGAGGAAUGUAACAUGAUCACGUGAUUUUUGGUGCAUCGUGGGGUCCCUAUUUUAUUUUCACUGUUAACUCCACCAUUGUUUUGGUCUUUGAGGUAAUUUUAAAUUUUAAGCUGAUUGCAUGAUUUUUCUGGAAGUCAACACUCGGAGAAAAGGCUGAUUUGGAGGGCCUGCAGAAGUGCUGGGGUGGGUGUUGACAGAUCUGAGUGACAUUUGCAUGGUAUUUCCCUGUGUCACCCCACCCCUGCCACCCUUAAUCACCCUAGUGGCAGUGGUUUAAUGACACAGAGAUCCUGGAAAAGAGUGUUUCUCAACCAGUUUCUUUCAAAGGGAAGCCAUGGAGGAAGGAGCCAUUUUAUCUGAGCAAACAGCAAAUUCUUACAGGAGCUUGUAAUGGCUGUCCAUUCUCCCACUCCACCCCCCAAAAUAGAACUUGUGGUGUGAAAUGAGGACAGCAAAUGAUUCAUAUGUAGAUGGGUUUAUAAUUCAUUCUAGAAAUAAAGCUGAGCCUGUAAAUGACAUUCCAGGAAAAAUAAGAAAGAAUGAGUGGCUUUAAGGGUACACCAGACUGCUUAGGCCAAAAUUAAAAUAUUUGGUAGACUUAAAAUAAUUAUAUUUAUUUUUUUGAAAGGUAAUAUGUAAUUAAAAUUUCCUCUGUGGAAUAGUCACUUAAAAUAGGUUUGUAGUAUUCAUAUUGUGAAUUUAUGGAGGGAUUGUAUGCUUUGAUCUCAUCAAUGGUUCUAUAAAGAAGCUUUGACAUGUAAUGUUGAUAGUGACAGAACAGAGGCUCAGAUUCUGUCACUUUCCAAAGGUCACACAGGUUGUAAGUGACUUAAACUUGGAAAUUGUGUCUCUAAAGCUCAUUCUCUUUUCAUUAAGUUAUACAGCAUCUCACUCUAUAAGGCUGUGUAAUGAUGACAGUCAUGGACCUGCUCACUCAUGAUCUGGGUGGUGAAGAGUUUUGGAUUUAGAAUUAGAAGAGGUAAUUGGAUUAGAUUAGAGUCUCACCUGAUGUUACUUAGCUGGGUGACUUGAAGCACAUCACUAAAAUUGUCUGAACCUCAAUUUCAUUAUCCGUAAAUUUGAAGGAGAUAUCAUUUAUUUAUAGAGUUAAGACCAAAAAUCGUAAGUGUAAAAGUUCUCUGAAGAUGGUACAGUGCUCUACCAUGAUAUACUAUUUCUUAGGUACAAGCUAUUAUUUAUUAGGCACAGCAACAGACUAGGAGCUAGGAGAAAUUCAGAAGUCUUUUUUAUAGCCUGCCUGACAACCUCUUUAAUUAUUUUCCAUCUGCUCAAGAAGCUCCAAGCCCUGGCCACACUGAACUUUUUAAUUUAUCCUUUACACGAUUUGCUCUCUCAUAUCUCUGUGCUCGUGCGUAACACCCCUCUCCUAUGAUCUCCUAUGCAUCUUUCAGAGGCUCUUUUCAGCUCUAUUGGUAGUUUUCCUCUUCUAGGUGCCUAUGCAUUUUGUUCACAACUCUUAUGGCAUUUCCUACAGUGUGUUAUAAUUCAUCUGUUUAUAUAUAUGCUUCUGCUCCUUCCUAAGCUAUAAGCUUCUCAAGGAGACAUGCUGCCAUCUGUAUUAAGUGUGCCUGGUACAUAGUGGACAUCCAAAGGCUUGCUCAAUGAAUGCAUGACUAGAGGUGUAAGAAUUACUGUCCUGAUCCUCAUACACAUUACAACCUAAUCGAGGAUCAUGACAAAUAGACAUGAAACACUAGCAAAAUAAACAGGAAAAAGGAUUCUGUGAUGUAGGUGCAAACCCUUAGCAUUGCAUAAAUUCAGAGGAGCAGGAGACCUUUGAAAGCUAAAGGAAUCAGGGAAAGUUUCUGUAUGUGGAAUUGCUUAAUGAUAAGUGAUGAAUGGGGAAAUCAUUAAACCCACCAGAAUUCCUUCAGGGAGAAAAUCCUGUUAAUUUGGAAGGUACGUAGAUGCUAAAUACUCAAGGGAUCUGCUUCGGGGCAAAGCUGUACCAUAAGAGGAAGAGCAUUUAGCUAUUGUUCUAAGAGAUAAGGAUGAGGAAAGGGAGAGUGGAGGUGGAUUGAAGAUGAUGGCUGAAGACCACACACCCAGCAAAUCUCAAUGACAUUGACUAAAUCCUGAAGUGCUUGAACUGAAUGGAUUUUUUUAAAAAAGGAAACAAUGAAUGGACUCAAAUUAUCCAUUCCUUGUGAAUAUAGGAACGUGGAAACAAAGAGGGAACCAAGGCACAGCUAUUCAGAGAAUACGAGAUGGCCUUCUCAGGGUUCAAAGAGAUAGAUUUGGGGUUUGGGCCAGGUUUAACCAAAUCUCUCAGGAUUGCAGCUGAGGAGCAAAGAAAAGGGGAAGCUGAUAUCUGGAUGACAAUAUCCAAAUGAGUUGCAUCUCCAAAGCAGAGAAUUGGCCAUGGGUCUUAAGGAAUCAUCCAAGUUAAAGCAAAAUAAUACUUCAGCCCUCUAUAUAAACAUUCCUGUAGCCACUGCCCCCUAGACCUAUAGUUUAUAAAUCUCAGUCUACCCAGUAUGCUGAUGGAGGAAAAGCUUUCACCUAAACACCGACCGUGUGAGUUGUUCAUAAUACUAAAUUCAUUUAACUUACAGAACUAUAUUUCAAAAUGUUAUUUUUCUGACAUAAUUGUUCGUUUUUAAAUGAAUUGAUGGCUUUUGAUGUCUUUACGUGGCAAAAUUAAAAUGUGUCAACUUCGUGUUCAUUUUCUAAAUUUCUUAGAGAUUUUAUUGGUCUAUAAAAUCCAAAAUUUGAAGAACCACCUCUUUUAAUAUGACCCAUAGUAUCAUUUCAGUUAGCUAAUUUGCUCUGAAUUAAAUGGCAGAUUUAUUUUCAGUUCCUGAAUUCAUUACUGGUGGUCAUGGUUGGUGUGGUUUAUUAAGGCAAUUCCUUUUCGAGUCACAUCAUUCGUAGCCUCUUCAAAUUAAAAUUUGUGAACAGGUAUACUGCCACAGGUACCCUGAAGGCUGUCUGCAUAUGAACAGGGUUUGGUUUUGUAGUCAAUAUGCCAUUCAACAAGAUGAACCCCACAGUUAGUAAAAACAAUAGCUUGCAUUGUAUUAUUACAAAGCAGUGUUUGUGUAAUGAUUACAUAUUUUCACUUACAUAAUUAUGAAAUGUACAAGUGUGACUGCUGCACAGUAAUUAGUCACAAAUGGCACACAUUUCAUGUAAAUGGCUGCAAUUCCUGUGACUCUUCCUAUUGGGGCUAGCUUCAUGAGCGUGUGACCUAUCUAGUCCCACAGGGUCCCCUUGCUCAAGAGGGCCCCAUGUUUGGUUUAAUGUGCUGUGGCUGCUGUCUUGAAAUUGUUCAUAAUUUUUGACAAGGGGACCCACCCCACAUUUCCCCUUUACACUGAGCCCUCCAAAUUACAUGGCCAUAUCCAACUGCUAUUGCAAAGAUUCAAGCUGGGCUGGGAGGUAGAAAUAGAAGGACCAGGUAGAGAGGCAGGGAGCAAGACUGAAUCCUUUUAGUCAUCUCAGGAGCCUCUGCCUCCAAUCCAACAAGAAGGGCUUCUCCUGUUACUUAGAAAGUCUUGGCUCUUUUAUUCAACUGGAACAAGGAAGAAGAAUUAGCUUUUCAGAAAAUAAAAAGUUUUGGUUAGGUCACAGUAAGGGGGAGCUGGGGAGAUGCUAUGGUUUUGAUAUGUCCCCAGAUUUCAUGUGUUGGAAACUUAAUCUCCAAAUUUGUAUGUUGAUUGGAGAUGGGGCCUUUUGGAAGUAAUUAGGAUUAGAUAAGGUCAUCAGGGUUGGAGUCCCCAUGAUGGGACUGGUAGCUUAAUAGGAAGAGGAAGAGAGAUCUGAGCUGGCAUGCUCUUGCCCUCUCACCAUGUAAUGGUGAGAAAUCAAUGUCUUUUCUUUAUAAAUUACUCAGUCUGUGGUAUUUUGUUAUAGCAACAGAACAUGAACUAAGACAGAUAAUUGAUACUGAGGAGAUGGGCUAUUGCUAGUAAGAAAUACCUGAAAAUGUGGAAGCAGCUUUGGAAGUGGGUAAUACAUAGAGGCUAGGCUCUGAGAAUAACUCACAGUGGUCAAGUGGCCUAGGAGGUGCCUUCAGGGAGACCAGAAGCACUUGAUGGGAUAAAUAGUGGUCAUAAGAUAGGCAGUGUAAACUACCUCACUCUUCCCCACUCUUCCGUAGCAUCUGCUGUGAAGAUACUGUUUCUUAUGGUUUUGUUAGUGGAUUUCUUUGUGGAGCUCAAAGUUCUGAACCCAGGUUGAUUCAACGUGAAAAUAAACAUUGAUCGUGCAGGCUCAAGGAGCCAGAAGACAGGGGUCGGGGGAUGGAAGGCGGGACAGUGGGCAAUUGGGCUCAGAGUGAUGUGUCCUCAGUGAGAAUUCCAGUUUUGCCAUAAUCUUCCCUGUGAAGUUCUGAGAAUGAGUGUACAAUGCCAUAAUGUCCUGGACUAUGGUGGGGAUGGUGGGUGUUCCCCACACUUGAGCAGAACGAAGCCUGUGUAAGCUGUGAAACUGUCAGCUUUGGAGAUUAGUCAUCCUUGCUCAGACCCUAUAAAGCUUUUGCAUUAGUUAGGCUGAUGUUUCACUUUUAACUCAUAUAAUAGGCUUCAGACACUUGGAAAUAGUGCUUUUAUCAUUAGGUAUGUUGCCAUUUUUAUUUUUUCAAGUUUCUCGCUCUCUCUCUCACCACAUAAGUACACUUAAAGCUUUACCCUUGCUAUGAGGUUAACCUAAGGCAGAGGGUAUGUUGCCAGCUAUAGGCCAAAAGUCUGGGUAGGCAUGCGAGAAAGAAAUAUUUUGGUAGCAAUAUAGCUUAGGAAGUCAAUAUUUUUUAACAUAAGUGACAGCAAAUAUUUACAAAUUCAGGCUACUGUGGGUGUUCAGAUUCUGAGUGAAAAGCAAUCUCAUGCACUGAUAUUUACUUUGAAUAUGUUCUCCUUUUUUCAGCACCCAUGACUAAUUCCCCUUUUCACAGGGUGAAGAGCAAGUUGGCUCUUGAUCUAGCCAGAAAAAAAAAAAAAGGUUUUCUUAUACUUCUGGUAGUAGGCAUGUGGUUAGAAUACAGGAGUAAGAAAACAAAUGUGACUCUUAAAAUUAUAGUACACAUUAAUAAACGAACUAAACAUCUAAAUGUUGCUAAAGUGACUGAAUCACAGAUCCACUGUUUCUUACUCUGGUUUUUGCUAGAGGGGCAAUGAACAUGUAAAUUGAGGGUACAAUGCAGCAAAUGAACUAAAUUAGAGACUUUAUUUGAGUAUUGUUGAUGCCGGGAGAGAUGAGAAAAAUAAGACAAACCUUGCCUUCAAGGAACUUAUAUUUGUGAGGAAAAUACAUCAACAAAGCAAAGUCAAGUAAUCAUAAAAAUAUGAACGGCUCUUUAACAGUAGAAGGGAGGGAGAAAGCUGAGCGUGGUUAAUUUAUACAUGGAAUGUAUGAAGUUGUUUCAGAGAGGCAAGAAAUUAUUUGCCUCUCUGAGUCUUCCUGGAAACAGUCUCCCUGGAGGAGGUAGAUUUGAGUAUUGAAAGGAGCAUUCUAGGCAGGCAGAAGGCAUGAGUGGAAUCACAGAGGUGGUGAAAGAUCCAUGAGAGUGAGAUGAGUAAGCCAGGCUGGCUGAUGUGAGGUUUUGGGAUGGUGAAUAAUUGGAGACUGUGCUGGAAAUAGCUAGUGCAUUGGACUCCAGAGGGUCUUAAUUGGUGGGACAGGAGCUUCUGCAUGCACCAUGAAAGACCUGCUCUGACACAGUGAAAAUCUCUGCAUCUCCCUUUCCCACUGAGUCAUCUUAGGCUUCCCUCUCUGCUUUUCCCUUGAAGCCAGGAGUCCAUUCCCAGUGGGCAGGCCCAUCCUUCCUGAAAUCCAGCACAAGAUGAGGCCUGGUAGGUGAGUGUGCAGGGCCAUGGUGCAGACUCCUCCAAGCUCAUCAUUACUCCAGCUUGGUCAGGGUCUGUUUGGAAAAUGGAGUGGUGACAUCCUCUUGCCUCAGGAUGUGUGGAAGCUCCUUCCAUGUAUACAGUAGAAACAGAGCAUCUCUGAUCCUUUAUUACCCCCAGAACCCACUCUCCUGGCUCCUGGCCGAAGGGCCUGAGAAGCAAUUGUAAAAUUGGGAGCUUGCCCAAAGGACCAGUACUAUAUAAAGAUUCAUUUCAAACCCUGAGCAAGGCGUUACGGAUGCAGACCUGAUAAUGAGCCAUUAUGAGAAAAUGAAAAGCACAGACUUUGUGGUGGUGCCCUCAGAGCUAAGUAAUUCUGGAGAGUAAUUAUGAAGCAGAAGAAUGAUUAUACAAACUGCAGACUAAACAUUUAGGCCCUGUGUGUGAGGCCAGCUGACAAAGCAGAGGUAAUUAAUAGGCAGUUACAAUGUGGAAGAUUCUGGAAAGUAGAGUUCUGUUGUCUGAAAUUUAGUCUGACAGAGGAAUAUUAGCAAGAUAAAUGUAUUUGGACCAAGCACUCCCGAGAGGAAGGGCAUGCUCAAAUUGUUUCUGUAAAAAGUCUCUGGCGGUGUUUGGCUCCCUUCUGCGUCCUUCAUGAAACAGUUCUCCUUGAGUAUUACGGUUGGCAAGCAUGUGGGUGGGGGAGAUGUCACACGCACCCGCUCCAGCUGUACAAGCAAGCCACUGCGAGGAUUAGACGCUUGUUAGUUAUGAACUUAGGUGUCUGGUCUGUUUCUUUGCCUUUCAAAGGCACUUCCUGGCAGAGAGGUACAAUGGUGCUUUGCAGGAAACCCUGUGCCCACAGCAUCUGUUCUGCAGCUUGGCAGACCGCAGCUGGCCCUGAGCAUGGCCUACUAAUUCUCUGGGUCAGGUGUGGCUGUGGUGAGAUGGAUCUCAGCCAGGUAAGACCCUCUAAUCUCUGUUUUCUUUCUCCUGCCAUAGAUACACUGAUGAUUGGAGGGUAUGACAGGAAUUCUUGCCUGCCUUUGGGUCGUGAGGGAAACAGAGACAGCGUAAUGGCUUUUUGGAGUGCCAGGAGCAGAGUCCCCAGAGUUCAUUCUUAGAAAACUAUGAAGCUGUUCUUUGAACUCCAACUUUUUCUCCUAUAUUCAUUCAGGGCUCUUUCCUCUACAACCCCCUCAUUCUUGCUGUUGAUAGAUGCCUCUUUCCUACUCUCUAAAUGUCCAAUUUUAUCUUCCUUUGGAAUGCCAUCAAAUUCUUCCUCCCUUUUUCUGUACCCCACCUCCAAAAAUAAUCCCAACACCCACCUCGUCAGAGUGUCCAUUUAUUUCCUCAGGGCUAAUCCCAGAAGGAGCAUACAAGUUGGUGAACUCAUACUAAUAUGUGAAUGAUUGUUGCCCUUGGAUGGUUAGAAAAUCAAGGUAGUUGUCCACUGUAGAAGAUUGUUUAAAGCCAAGUGGUUAAGAAUAUUCUAUAUCCUUCCUUUUGCAUAUAUUAUCUCGUUCAUCCUUGUGAAGCAGAUAAUCUCACCAUCUCAAUGUACAGAAAAGGAAACUGAGGCUCAGAACAUUUUGAGUAGCCUACUUAAAUAGUCUAGGCAGAGAUUGAACCCCCACGUCUCUGGCCCCAAGAGGUCUUGAUAAUUCCCUCACAACUGCUGCCUAACAGCAGAUAAAAUAUAUUUGGAUUCUUCUCACCUUUAAGAAAACCUAGUAAGUUAAUCUCUAAAAAUCAGCAAUCUGCUCAGGGGAUACAGGGAGAACUAGGACUAUUGUCCCAAAUGUGUAGUCAUAUUUAUCUGCUUACCAAAUGACCAUGUGUUGAAUCCCUGAAAACCAUGGGAGAAAUACCAAUUAAAAAAAAAAUCAGAGUUCUGUGACUUCUUCUUUACUAGGUUUCCCUAAAAUUAUGUUUUACUACAAAACCCUGAGUAUAGACCACAUGCUACGAGAUGAUCCGUGAUAUCUCUUAGCCCAGUUAUAACAACUUACAGUUUUCCUUUUUUUUUUCUAAUUGAAUACAAUGUUCCCAAUUAUAUUAGUUAUAAAAGAUAAUUGCAAAAACCAUGCCUGGUCAUUUAAAGUCAUCUUCUUCUUGAACCAGUUGGUUCCAUCUGGUCUUCUGGAUGAAAGAAGUGGAAGACACUGAGCUGAGUUCUGCCCUCCAGUGAGCUUUGUUCUCCAGAAGUUACUUUCUAUGAUGCCAAACCCACACAUCUGGUGAGAAGCAGAUGAGGAAGUUUCCCUUGGGAUAACCCAACUGGAGGUGAUUCACAUCACUCAAGGGUGAUGCCAUAGUCAGAAAAGGAAACUUGACUUAGGCAGAAAAGGAAUUGUUGUCUCUCAUAACCAAACCAUGGGAGCAUAGGGUUGUGGCUGGACCUUAGGAAUAAUCUGGAUGAGGAGUCAAUGAUCCUAAGCCUUUGUCUCCCCAUCCCUGGCCUCUGCUUUUCUGUACUUGUUGAUUUCAUUUUGUCUGACAGACAUCCUCCUGACAGCUGAAAACAAGACCAGCAGAAGCAACCAACCCUCACUGCUCACAGCUUGGGCCCAGUGCUCAGCCCCAGGACCAGCUGACACUGAUAGUAGCUGUUUUAAACCACAGGAAUAAAAUGGAGGAAAAAUCAUCUUCCAAAGACGAGAAAUGCUGCUCACAAAAGAAAGGUGCUGUGUAGAUUCCCAGUAAACAAUAUUAUCUAUAAAUGACUCUGGGAAUCACUAAUAAGUGAUGAUGAAGCUGAUUAUGCAUUAUAUAAAUGUUUAGAUUUGAAAAAAAUUGAUUUAUAGCAUAUAAAAUCCCAUUAUUUUAUAUUACUGAAAUAGGAAUAUGAAGGAAUGGAAACAUUUUAUUUUAAAAACAUAAAGUUACACUAAGACAUUAGCUCCUUUGACUCACAUAUUUCAAAAACAAUGACGGUUUUCAGUGGAAAAUAAUGCUAAGAAGUUCUGAAAAUAACAGUAAUAAGGAAGAAUUUGAGUAAUGAAACAUUUAUUCACUCAUUUUCCUUCAAGUAUGUACAAUAUAGCUAUAAAAUAAUUAGACUAAAAAAUGGCAGGCACAGCAGAACCUUAAACCAACAAAUUUAAAGUAUAGACAUUUUGUUGGUAUAAUAAGAGCAUUAAUAUGUAUUGAAUGUUUACCAAGUGCAGGUAACUAUUAUAAAACCUUUAUUGGCAUGAUCUGAAUUAGUUCUCAAAACAAAUAGUUGGCAAACUAAGGCCUGUGGGCCAAACUCGGCCCACCUUCUAUUUUUGUACAGAGUUUUAUUGGAACACAGCAACACUCAUUCAAUUAUGCAUUGUCUAUGGCUACUUUUAUGCUACAGAAUUGAGCUGUAGUGGCAGAGACUGUAUGGACUACAGAGCCUGAAGAAUUUGCCAUCUGGCCCUUUACAGAAGAAGUUAGUUGAUCCCUGCAAAACAAUCCAAUGGAGUAGGUACUGUUAUUUCUGCUUUACCCCAAGGUCACAGAAUGGUAGUUGUCAGGGUAGUGAUUCAAAUCCUGAACUGUCUGACUAUAAAGUCUAUCAUCUUUUUAGAUAGAUUUAUAGCACAGAGCACAGGCCCUAGAGUCAGACUGUUUGGGUUCAGAUCAGAUUCUACCAUCUAGUAACUGCAUAUUGGACAGUUUGCUUAACUGCCCUGUACCUCGGAUUCCUCCAUAACUCUUCCCAUUGGUAAUAGAUGUGGCUGGUCAUCCUUCGUGUCAGUACAGGCCUUGGACCCGGGGUGUCUGUCCUAGGCCCUGCAUCUCAGGGCCUCCCAUGCUUUGGAGUGCCUCCUUCAACAUUCUCAAAGUUUCUCUGGGAACAGCUGGAGUAGCAGUGCCAUCUGGGCAGGGUACCCUGAGCUGGGACCAGUAAGUAUCCUAGUCCCCAUUUCUGCCCUUUGGAUUGCUCUUUGAUCUCUACUUCCCAGCCCUCAUGUGGGGCUGAUCUGAUGCCCCAAGGAGCUCCAGGACUCAUAUCUGUGGGUUUAUUUUGGGAUCCUUGACCUGGCCCUGAUUCCGGGUGGGUGACCAGAUGAGCCACUGCUCCCCAGAAUAGCCCAGUUUUUCUUGUUGAGUCACCAGGCAAGUGCAGACAUGUUGAUUUUGAUGACUCUCACUUACGUAAAACCCAUACGUUCAGGGCUCUGAGGUUCUCAUGGCCCACUGCUGGCCCUUGACUAGAGCCAUAUGUGGGGUCCAUGUGUCAGGUCUCACCUCUCCAUGUCUGAAUAAAUAGUGGCUUCCAUUCUACAGCACCCCAAGGUAGUAAAGGUGGUGUCACUUACCCUCUCCCCUGUACCCCUCCCAUCACUAGCACCAGGAAAGUCAAACCCCAUCGCUGAGCAUUCCUCCAGAGCAUUGUCUGUCCCCAAAGAACAUUUGACACUUGUUCUGCAAUGUUAGCAGACCCUCCUGCUUGAGGCCCUCCAAUCGAUGUGUUGCCUGUGUCAAUGUGUUGACAUGAACCCUCUGUGCUUAAGCCAUGUUGGGGAGACGUGGACAUUUCUUGUACAAAUAGGACCACUCUUCUUUUUCUACCCAUGGGUUUCCCCCACCUCCCCAUGGUGAAAGUGUGUGGAAGGCAAAGGUGCUGUCAACAUUAAAAGAAAUCACAUUCUAGGAAUGCAGGAAUUACCGUAGGGAGUUCAAGAGAAGAUAUGGUCAGAAAAUAUGCUCUUCUAUAUUUAUGCUAUAAAAUUUCAAACAGUGAAUUUAACAUUCUCAGAAAAUGAAUUAACAUUCACAUUUUCCUGCAUAUUCUGGGCAAGACUUGACUUUGUGGUCAUCAUCUCCAAAACACAGUAACCGCCCUCCCUUGAGAGCAUCAGUGGAAGCCAGGAUUCAUGGGUGGCAGCAGGGAUGACACAACAUCAUGAUUGAUGAUAUAACCAGCAUUAAAUAAAUGAUAUUAAGGAAAUCCAGAGGCUAGAAAAGCUGUUAUUUCAAUACAAACAAAUGCUGAAGAGCCAGUGUUGUAAUAACAGCAUUGCAACCCUUUUCUCCCAGUGAGACAUGUGGAAUUAGCACAUCUAACAAUAAAAAACACAAAGAGGAUUCUGGCAUCUGCACAGAAAGUGAUGGUGCCUAGACACUAUGAAAAAAUCUUCCCUUGCACUGAUUGAACAAUAAGCAAAUACAAAAAUACCUGUUCUUUACCCAUUAUUCUAAAUCUUCAUUGAUAAAUCAUGACUCAGAUAGGCCUACGAAUUUUGUAAAACAUUAAAUCAAAUUCCUUAUACAGACAGGGACUUGGCAGAAAAUAUUUUCCAGGGACACAUACCAUAAAGAUGCCCUGCUUGGUAUUACCUCAUUUUCUUUUCUAUGAAGUCACUCUUGCUUUCACUUGCAGUUUCUCCUGUCUUUCUUCACGUUGGUGCUUUCCCAUGUUUUUUUUUUUUUUCUCGUUUAGGGUGUUCUUUCCUUCUUUUCAAAAAUCACUUUAUGCUUUGUAAUAUUUGUAGCCCUCAACUUCUUUCCAAGCAGGUAAUUUUGCCUUUCUCUCUGUCUCUUUGGUCAUCUGCCUGUCUUAGCCUUUCAGACAUUCUCACACUGUAAUACACACAUGCACGUGCACACACACACUCUAUACAUAUACACUAUGCACAUAUCAUAUAUACACACAACUGAUAAACAUUUUGUUUUAACGUACAAGCAGCAUGUUUACACAGAAUUUGUCCUUGGCUUUAGUAACUAUACUCACCAAAUAGAGGGCUACAUAUGUGAUACAGGAGAGUCAGUCCAGGAUUACUUGCUUUCAUUCUCAAUCUUGUCUGGAUAAUCAGGUUACAGUAUGCUAAGGACAUCAAGAUGCCCAGAAUGGCACAAGUGGAAAUUCUUUUAGAUGCCUUGUUGUGCGCUCUUGAGUGUCUGUGGUUAGAACUUGAUUCUUUACUGGCCUAUGGAUCAAGUGUCCUGUGGUUUGUGACAGCUGCAGCAUUGGAUGAGAUAACUGGGGGUGCCAGGCAUAAUUCAUCCCCGUAUGUCCACAUUCUGACUAUAGAAAGCUAUUGACCUAAAAUAACAUUUUAUAUCAUUUAAAAAUAUUUGGGUAGCCUAAGAUCCAUUUUUUUGUUUUGGAUCAGGAGGUACUACAUCCAAUUUUUACAUGUCGUACCUCUUUGUUUUCACAGAUAAUUUAUAUUUCUUUAUCUCUGACACUAUUUGGCUGUCCUAGAAAUAGCUGAUGACACCAAUUAGGAGAUACGCUCAGUCACUGAUGACGUCCUAUCCUAUUAUGUGUUCAUGCACAGCAGGGCAGGGUAUCUGAAAUGCAUUUGCUUUAGCACAUUUAGAUAAUGUGUGGGAAAGGUGACAGGUUUUUAUUUUCUUUUUUGCCAAUUUGUACAUUAGUGUCUCUUAAGUGGCAGAUUAAAAAUUUCUUAAAGCACUAACACUGAUUAAAAAUGUUUGUUUAGGCUUGUUCAGAACUCUUAAGUGCUUGCAGGAGCCAAAUCACAUUCUCGUCCUUUAAGCAAACAACAUUUUAAAAGCCUAUAAUGGCUGUAUCUUAUUGAAGCAAAUGAUAAUAACUUUCUAUAGGGCUAUUUUCUUUUAUAAGGUAAAUAACUAAAACUUGUAAAUAUGGAAAAAUAAUCCAGAUCCAUAGACAUAUUUGUAAGUAUAUAUUUCUUAAAAAUGUUUCAGUCCUAUUAGUCUCUAUCAUUUUAAUACACUGGCAAAAUAUAUAGUACUUUGUUCUUUUCUCAAAACUCUUUUUCAGAAUUUAUGGCAUUUCUUGUACCUGGUAAAGACUACUGAUAAGCCAUUUCUUGUGGACUAAUAAAAAAAAUUAGUUUUUGGUAAGCAUUAAUUUUAGUCUCUGCUUUUUAUCUGUUUAUUCAUUCUUUCAUCCUUCAUUCAGCAAUAGCUUCUGUGCUGGGCUGGGAGUCAGGUUGGAGGAAUGUGCCCUCUCACCAGGAGGAUGGACUUGAUUGUAUCACUGUGGGGGACCCACUGAAUAGUGGGACCUCUGCAAAGUGCAGUGCAGCCCAAGAGGAGAGAACAACUGAUUCUAACACAGGCUUCACAGAGAAGGUGACAGAGGUUUUAACGGGUUAGUAAAAAAGGAGUUCAUGCAAAGACAGAAAGGCUGAAAAGACGGGUAUUUGGGGAGUUCUGCAAUGGUAAAUGAGGGGGAAGCUAAAUGUGUGUGGCUGGUGGCAUAAGUAACGUGGGAUGUGUAGAUUGAGGCCAGAAGGCGAAGGGACUUGAGUGCCAUUUUCAAGACUUUGUUUGGACUUUGUCUCCUAGCUAUGGAGACCUCAUAAGGACCUUUAGUCAGGGUGGUGACUUAAGAGUGGGCACUAUUGGAAUCAGAGGCUCUUACAAUAACUGUGAGAGGGAAUAAGGACUUAAGGCAAAGACCUUCUUUGUGAUUAUAGACAAAUUUAUUAUGCAAUACAAUAGAUAAAAAAGAUUAAUGCAUAAGUCUUCAUAGCCCCUCUUCCUCUUCUUCCCCAUACCCCCCAGGAAAAUUCUAGCAGAGCUAUGGAUUAUGAAUUGGAUUUUCUUUGGAGUUCUUUAAGAGAAGAAUAUAAAUAUUCUAAAUGCUUUAAUUCUUCUUUGUUGCUACAUCUUGAUUUGUUUGUUUUUUCACUGUAACUGCACUGAGAUCAGUCCCCAUGGAGCUCUAGGUUAUUAGGGCUACAUAACAUGUUUUUUUUUUAGGAGAGCCAGUAUAAUGUUGGGUGACCCAAAGGUUUAUGCCUACUUGGGGGCAGUUUGAAGACCUACUAGUUAGUCACAUCUACAAAGAUAAGAUAGGCAAGGUUUUAAAAACCCAAAUCCUGUCUGGUUUCCUGCUACCACAGUAAUUUCCUGAGGAAUACUCCAGGAUAAGAACAUGCUGUUUAUUACCAGCUAGGGCUUUGUCCUUGACACCUCACAAAAGUGCCUGUUCCAGGUCAUGAACUUGGGUCAAUCUGUGGGCAAGAUGUAAGAACCCUUUGCCUCCUCUGAACUCGGAAGCAAUUGAGAUGACAUCCAUCUUUGGAUGUUCUCUCCUGGACUCUACCUGGUUCCUGCUUGGUUUUCUAACAGAGGGAAAAAAGAGGAUGCCGCUUUCCAACCAUAAGGAGGCCUCCAUCCAAUCUUAUCCUAUCAGCUGCCAGGAAGGAAAAAGAGAGAAGUGAUCUCUGUUCUAAGAAAGUUGCAUUUUAAAGGAAGAAGUUCUGAAUGAAGUGCCCCAAUCAGGAGCAAGGAUGCUUAUCUUCUUUCCUCCUCUGAUAUGGUUUGACCGUGUCCCUACCCAAAUCUUAUCUUGAAUUGUAGUUCCCAUAAUCCCCAUGUGUCAUGGGAGGGACCCAGUGGGAGGUAAUCGAAUCAUGGUGGUGUUUACCUGCAUGCUGUUCUCGUGAUAGUAAGUUCUCAUGAGAUCUGAUGGUUUUAUAGGGGCUUUUCCCCUCCUUCUCUCUGCACUUCUUCUUGCUGCCACCAUGUGAAGAAGGGUGUGUUUGCUUCCAUUUCUGCCGUGAUUCUCUUUCCUGAGGCCUCCCCAGCCCUGCAGAAGUGUGAGUCAAUUAAACCUCUUUCCUGUAUAUUUAAUCAACUAUCUAGUCUCUGUUAUGUUGCUCCAUUAGCAGCAUGAGAACAGACUAAUACAGCUAACCCACUUUACCCUUAGCAGCAUAGAUUCAAUUCCACCUUCUUUGUGGAAUUGAAUUCCUAAUUCAUAUUAGGGUGUUGGGCAGAGUGAGUAUUUGACUUUCAUUUAUUCAUUGGAUUUUACAUCCAGGUUGUGCCACUAGCACAAACAGUUCAUGGAGGGCCUUGUAUACCUGUUUAGGAAUUUGGGCUUUGUAUGGUAAAGGAGAGUUUCUGAAGGUUGUUAAUUAGGGACUUUAUGGGUUUAGAUGUUCAGUUAGAGAAGCUUAAAAUAUUUUUUAAAAUAUAGUAUCUAAAAAAUAUUUUUAGAGCCCAUCACUCAAAAUUAAAAAGGAAAAACAUUGGCAGGGGUCAUUCUAAAGACAGUGAAAUAGUUAGGAAGCUGUUGCUAUAUAAUAGAAGCAAGGUAUGAUGAGGGCCUGAAUGGAGUCAGUGGCAGUGGGAUUGGAGAAAAGAGAUUGGACAUGAGAAAUAUUUAGGAGGCAAAAGAAGAGGGUUGUGUGGAAAAAGGAGUCACUUCCCGGGUUUUGUCCUGAGAAGCUGGCUGGAUGGUAUUGUCACUCACAAGCACAGGAGAAGGAGGAUGGAAGCAUAUUUUUGUUGGUGGUGAACUUGAUUUGAAAUAUGGUAAAUUUGGGGUUCUGGCAGGCCAAACAAGCAGAGAUGUCCAGGGCUCAUCUGGAUAUUCAGGUCUGAAGCCCAGGAGUUGUAUUUGGGCAGGAGAUAGAGAUGUGGGAGUCAUCAGAAAAUAGAUGGCAGUUGAAGCUCUGAAACAAGACAUCACCAAACAGAAGAAUGAGAAUGACCCUAGGGUGCGUGGUAGCAAUGGGGUCAGUAGUCGAAGAAGAACCGGGAAGGAUUCACAGUGGUGUAGUUGGUGGGAGAGAAGGAAAACCAGAGAGAAGGGAGUGAGAGGAGCAGCAGUGCCCUGGAGAGUCAAGUGCUGCAGAGAAGAGAAGAAAGGGAGGUAGGGUGGGGAACAUCUGUGACUUUAGGAAGGUGGUUCAUUGGUGACUGCUGAGCGCAGCUUCAGUGAACGGUGGCAGUAGAUCUGGAGGAAAGUGACUCAGUGAAUGUGAGGUGAGCAAAUGGAGACAUUGGUGUAAAUGCCCCUUUCGAGGUUGUGGAAGUGGCUCACGUUUUUGAGGCAGGGCUGUGUUUGUUUUUCAGAGGUAGGGACUCGAGCAUAUUCUCUGCAGAAGCCCCCAGUCAGUGAGACUGGUAAAGACUGUUGUCAUGUAGUCAGAGGCAGAGUCUCAGUUCUACUCCUUCUCUUAUCUCUGUCACACUGAACACUUCUGCUCUUUCUUAAAUCACCAGUUGGCUCCUGGGGCUCCCAGGCCUUUCUGGGUUUGCUCUGGGUUUAUUCACCUCUUGUGUCAGUCUGUUCUCAUACUGCUAUGAAGCAAUACCCGAGACUGGGUAAUUUAUAAAGGAAAGAGGUUGAAUUGACUCAUAGUUCUGCAGGACUGGGGUUGCCUCAGGAAACUUAUGGUCAUGGCAGAAGCGGAAGCAAACAUGUCCUUCACGUGGCAGCAGGAGAGAGAAGUGCAAAGGGGGAAAACCCCUUAUAUAAAAACAUCAGAUCUUGUGAGAACUCACUAUCAUGAGAACAACAUGAGGGUAACUGCCCCCAUGAUUCAAUUAUCUCCUGCUGGGUCCCUCCCAUGACACGUGGGGAUUACGGGAACUACAAUUCAAGAUGAGAUUUGGCUGGGGAUGUAGCCAAACCACAUCACCCCUGUUAGAGGUGGAGGAUUUGCUGUGCCCCACUCACUGCCACCCCCACUGCCACCAGGGCAGUCAUGUCUCACAUGGUGCGACAUUUGGUAUCCCCACUCCUUCACCCACUUGUGCCUUCAGAGAGGACUCGGAGCCCUCAGGAGAGCUACAGGGUAGUCCCGUAAAUAGCCAGGGGCCAGUGAGAUGAUGUACUCUGAGGAGAGGCUUCCCACAAUACAAACCUUAGGUGUCAAAUGUGCUAUGAGGACACUGAGGCAUUGUACCCUCAGCACCUGUGGCAGGUAGGUGGGGCCCAGGCCAGCCACAACAGCCCUUUCAUUUCCCCAUGGUGCUGUCCCAAUGUCAUAAUUUUCUUUGUCAUGAUAUGGGAAGCACUGCCUGAUGGGGCCCCACCUCCAGCACAUUGGCUGUCUCUCUGUCACUUGGCUUCCUGAAUGGUAUUUAAACGCCCCCCGCAUCACUGUUGGGUCUCAGCAAACUCUCUGGCCUCUUGUUCAAUUUGCCCUCUGCAUACUGGGAAGGCCUAUUUAACUUUGCCUGGCAUCUGUGUGGAAGAAACACUUCUUAGGCAAAGAGCUCCUGGAAGACAAUCUCCCUAGCAACAAUGAAGCAUCCUCUCUACAGUCUUUUCUGCCUCUCUUUUGUUGUUAUCUGGAUGACAGGGAUUGAAUCUGGCCUCUGCCCAUAUCAAAUGCUGUCUGGGGCUGGAAACAAGCCUCAAAACAUGUUUUAAAUAUUUUAUUUCCCCCCGUCUCCCCUAAGUCUGCCCACCAUGCAUACGCUUGAUUAAAGUUAUGCCCCAGUGAUCAACUGUGAGUGACAGUGACCCUCCUAAAGGUAGUCUACUUAGCCUCUGGGCUCAGGCAACACACCUGUGUCUGAUUAGACACUGUUACCCUGCUUGAACCUGUGCCACAUGAAAGCAGCUUUCUCUUGUGCUCUGGUAGUGGGAGAUGCUUUCUUGUAAUGUUAAUGCAGGGCUAGACUUUUCUCCUGCUGAUCCUUUGCCUGGAAUGUUCUCCUCUUCCUUGUCACCAGCCAGAGCACCACUAAAUCAGUGUAAACUCCUUAAGGGAAGACUAAAGUCCUGGGAAGUGGGGUCAUCCUGGCCUUAUCUCCUUAAAGAACCUAACUCUUCAAGGGGGUCUUCCCUGUUAACCCUCUGUAUUAGUUGGCUAGGGCUGCAGUUGCCAGUACCAUGAACUGCGUGACUUAAACAACAGAAACUAAUUGUCUCACAGUUUUGGAGAUCAAGAUCAAGGUGCCAGCAGGUUUGGUUUCUCCUGAGACCUCUUUCUUUGGCUUGCAGAUGGCCACCUUCUUGUUGUGUCCUCCCAUGGCCUUUCAUCUGUGUGUGUGCAUCCCUAAUGUCUCUUCCCCUUUUUAUAAGGACGUGAGUCCUAUCCAAUUAGGGUCCCACCCUUAUGAGCUCAUUCAGCCUUAAUUACUUCUUCAAAGGCUUUAGCUCCAAAUAUAGUCACACUGAGGGUUAGGGCUUCAACAUAUGAAUUUUAAGGGAACACAGUUCAGUCCACCUCAUUAUCCUUAACGUUUUCCAUUUUUCUGUAUUCUCUCCAGUGCUUGGGUAUUGCAUCAGUUUCCUAUAAUUGCUUUAGCAAAUUACUAAAAACUUGGUGGCUAUAAACAACAGAAAUUUAUUGUCUCACAGUUCUAGAGGCCAGAAGUCUGAAAUCGGUGUCACUGGGCCGAAAUCAAGCUGUCAGCAAGGCUGUACUCCCUCCAGAGGCUCUAGGGGGAAAUCUGUCCCUUGCCUUUUUCACUUUUUGGUGGCUGGCAGCAUUCCUUGAUUUCUGGAUGCAUCAAUCCAUCCUCUGUGGUCACAUUGUCUACUCCUCUUCUGGUCAAAUUUCCCUUUGCCUCUCUCUUAUAGGGACAAUCGUGAUUGCAUUUAGGGUCCACCCAGAUAAUCCAGACUAAUGCCCCAUCUCAAGAUCCUUAACUUAAUCAUAUCUGUAAGGCCCCUUUUACCAAAUAAGGUGACAUUUAUAAGUUCCAGACAUUAGAAUCUCCUAUCUUGGGGGCCAUUAUUCCACCAGCCACAGGAGUAUUGUUCAUAAUAUAUCAUUUGAUGUUUAAACAAAUGAUGUAUCAUUUGAUGUUUAACAGCUGACCUACAAAAAGAGCCCUUGUUGCAAGGGCAGGAGACACAAAGAUGUUUUUGCUGGGUGUGUUCAGACAAGAUCACACCCUUCAUACCAUAAUCUAGAGCCUUGGCUCUGUCCUCCCACAUGACCUUCGCCUGAGGGGAGGGGCUGGGGACUAGGGAGCCAAGGAGUCUCCCUGGGGAGGUGAGGUUUCAGAUGAUCCAGGGGUUGGAAGAAGUUUCUCCCAUGCAUUUUUAUCUCAUGGCUGGUUAAGAGGGGUGGGCAUCCCACUCCCGGAAGCCAUUUCACUUUGAAUACUUUGUUUACUUCUGGUUAGAAGAGUCUUCAGGAGUGUGGGCUCUGGUAAGAAGGUCCCAUUUUCCCUGGACUUAUACAACCAGGUCUGCUUCUUGUGUUUUGCUAUCGUGACACUUUUACAAUUUUUCCUCUCAGUUACCUAAGGUACCUGAUGAAUAGUCAACAUGUUUGUGAAGUCCAGAGUGCCAGAUGUAUUGAAAAUGAGCAAUUUUAAUCAACGGUGAACCUACCUCUUUAUAUUUUUUUUUUAAAAAGAGGGCGAUUACUGAAGCUUCACAAAUAGUGCUUUAUUUAGUCAUAGGAGCCAUGAUCUGGUACUAGGAUGGGAGGACUUUAUUGGCUGCUAAUCUAAGAUUGUGUUUGUCUGUUCUUCCUUCUUGCCAUUUAUGGUGGAAAAAUCUUCCAGAGCACCACAGGUGUUUUGUUUCUUGCUUCUAGUCCCAUCCCAAUUUCAUUUUCAUGAAAUGGGAGUCAGGUUUGGAAGAUAAUUACCAAUUUCCUUUUCCUACUUUUAACAAUGCCCCUGCUUACGGUACAAAGUUGUGUCUGAACAUUACUGCUUAUUCUGAAAAACUCAAUAUGUAAUUUUUAAUGUCGUUUCAAGCCUUUUGAAGUUUCAUCUGUUUCUGGGGCAUUGCUAAUGGUUUACCUUACAACGCAGAAAGAACUUAUAAAGGAGAUGUCAGGAGAAAAUAAUAAUCUCCUCAAUGCAAUCAUGUCAUUAAGAUGCUACUGUUAAGAGUGGGGGAUGAGGCAGAGGAAAGACCAGACAGUGACUUAGAAACAUGAGCAUUUGGCAUCGAAGGCAUUACUGUCUUGAAGCCUUCUGGCCUGUAGGGUGUAUGGAAACAUGUCAGUUAUGGAGAGUUUUAUAUUAAUCUCCUGUACCAUCUAAUUUGGUUGAUUCAAAAUUAGGUUUAAUUACAAGUGAUCUUCUGGCACUAGGGAGACCGGCCAACAAUAACCUUCAUUAUCUCUUCUGGUGAAGGCCACAUUUGCUCUCAGGUAAAUCUCUCAGAAAAGCUCAUCACUGCCCAUUUUUCUUUGGUCCCAGGCAAAAUUAUGCAUUACAUGAACUCACUCUUCAUGUUUUUCCUGGUCUCUCUUGCUACCUGGUCCCAGGCCAGUUGCUAGAGACUUGUGCUCCCACAGUGGGCAUCUGAUAAGUGAGUUCACUUUUCACUGUUGGUGGCUUGCAGAUGUUGUUACUCCUGGAAUUAUUCUAAGGGGACUCCAUGCCUAAUAGAAAAAGCCUCACCUAAAAAGGAACCCAUCUCCAAGGGUAGAUUUUUCUAGCCCUGGGGCAGCUGAGUGUAGAAGAAAUUGUUUUGAGCAGUACUGUUUUUCUAGGGUCACACAAGUUCUGCCUAUUUCACUUGUAACAAUGCUGCCCAUGGGUAUAAGGAUGACAUCCUUUGGAGUUUUAAUGCACAUUUCCUGGGACUUAAAGAUGGGAAUUUUCUAUGGACACAGUACCUCAAAGGGUUUCUUUGUUGGGAUUUUCGAGACCCAAAUGUAAUGAAAGAAUCUUUUCACUACAGAUGAUCCUUGACUUAUGAUGGGGGUUACGUCCUGAUAAGCCCAUUGUAAGUUAAAAAAUGUAAGUAGAAAAUGUGUUUUCAAUUAAGAACCAUCCUAAGUCGGGAACCAUCUGUACUUUUGUGGGUAUUUGGGGUGCAAACGUUGGGGACCAUGUGUUAUGCUGAUAAUGACCAUCUUGCUGAUGUGCCUUGUAGGGUAAGGACUCACCCUGGGAGAGACUGUGAGUUUCCCUGAGGGGUGGACAGUCCACACGUCACCUCUGGGAAGAGGCAGGUCCUCGGAAGUCUGGGGCUUCUGCUCCUCUCUGAGCCUCAGUUCUAUGAGUCUGGACUUCAAGGAGUUUGAGAGAACUUCCAGGGCUGUUUGUUUCUACUCAAUUGAAUUGUUUUUCCUACUUUGUAAGCCAUAACUCCUGGCUCUCUUGGGUUCUAAUGACCCAGGAGACUCUUCAAUGACAUUUGGAUUCUGUUUCCUGGGGAGCUUUCUUCCUUAAUCCUGGGGAUACUCAAAGUGUAAGCCAGCCUGGGAAAAGAUGGAUUGAAAGGAGUUCCGAGGAGGGAGGAUCACGAGUUCAGGAGAUCAAGACCAUCCUGGCUAACAAGGUGAAACCCUGUCUCUACUAAAAAUACAAAAAAAAUUAGCUGGGCGUGGUGGUGGGCACCUGUAGUCCCAGUUACUAGGGAGGCUGAGGCAGGAGAAUGGCGUGAACCUGGGAGGCGGAGCUUGCAGUGAAUCGAGAUGGCGCCACUGCACUCCAGCCUGGGUGACAGAGGGAGAUUCCGUCUCAAAAAAAAAAAAAAAAAAAAAGUUCCUGGGGCUGGGCACAGUGGCUCACGCCUGUAAUCCCAGCACUUUGGGAGGCCAAGGUGAGUGGAUCAUUUGAGGUCAGGAGUUUGAGACCAGCCUGGCCAACAUGGUGAAACCCUACCUCUACUAAAUACAAAAAUUAGCCAGGCAUGGUGGUGAGCACCUGUAGUCCCAGCUACUUGGGAAGCUGAGGUAGGAGAAUCAGUUGAAACCAGGAGGUGGAGGUUGCAGUGAGCCGAGAUUGCGCUACUGCACUCCAGCUUGGGUGACAGUGAGACUCUGUCUCAAAGAAAAAGUUCCCGGGGAUAUAGCUGGUGGGACAACUGCCCAGUGUGUUCAGCCCAGGGACUGCAAUACCAGCUUGCUUCAUCUGGAGUUGUUUCAGGAGACACUUAGCCCCUCUCACUUCCUUCACCUUCGUAAAUGACUUUCCCUGAGCACCUCACGUCAACCUCACUAUUGAGGUGUCCCUACUCUGGCCUUCAGGUCUCUGAAUGGGCACUAUAGACUGGGCAUGAGCUUUCACAAAAUGCUGGCUAAUUUUAUAUAAAUAUCUAUCCUGGGAACCACCUGUUCAGCAGUCUGAUUCUAGAAUCUUCUUCUACUGGAGUCUUCUCAGGAGUGGAUCCCAAUCUUGCAGACCUAGAAGUGGGCAUUUUUUACUCCAAUCCCUGUUUCUGGACUGUUUUGAAUAGAAGCACUACUAGGAUGUGAGUGUAUCCUUUGGUUAGCUCAUCAUAUUCUUUCCCUUCCAAGAAUGCCCCCUCUCCCUAAAAUGAUCUCAGCAGACCCUCAAGGUACCUUUUGGGUCCUUCUCUUCCACAAAACUGCCCCAGGUCUCUCCCUCCCCAGAACUCAAAGCUCUUUUUUCCCCCAGUGACCCUUUUGGCAAUGAAUCACGUGCAUAUUUUGUGACACACUCCAAUAAUCACUUCAUGGUGAGCAUAAUACCCACUUCACUGACUCAGCUUUGCUCAUUUUGAUGUAUGGCAGACAUCUCUGUCUGCGUGAUGAGUCUCUGGAAUAUUAACUCUAUUCUGCACGAUGGCUUUGCUUUGGGCAGAUGUUUUUAUCUAUCACCCGUGUCGAUCUGUUUUCCAUGAGGGAAAUUUGGCUGACCUUCAGAGGAUGGAUUACUGAUCUCCCGGGAGCCAAUGGAAGUGACAUCAUUAACGGAUUUUUUUUUUUUAACAGCAAAAAUGGAAGAUAAUUAAAUGCAGCACAGUAGUUGUAAAACAGAUUUCAUUGUGUUAUACAUCACUUCAUAAAGUAAGCAUAGUUCCCAUUCUUCCACAUGAUGCUUUUUGCAGCAUUGUACCACAGAAUAAUGACUCCCUAAUAACUCAGCUGAAAAAUAUUUAGAUCUACUUGCUCUAAGAAUAAGGUCAACAUUAAACAUUCUCAGAUGAAAAGCUUGCUGGAUGAAAUAGUGCACCAUCAGAAUAAAGCAUGCAAUAUAUUUACAGUCAGAUGAAACAAGUGUGUCCAUAAAUCAACCAAAAGACCAUCUCCUCCUUUAGGAAAUACAUGUAUUGCUUAGCCAGUACCAAUAAGUUAACGUCGUGUGAAUAAUUUUGGGUAUUCUGGCCUUCCUGAAUCUCAUACAGCCAAACCAACCAGAAGGCUUCCCCGCUGGGUUGAUGGUGGCUUAUCAUUUGGCAUCUGGAAACUUCUCUUAUUUUGCUGGAUAUGGCUGUCUAGUGGGUGGCUUACUGACUUGCCUAAGAAAAAAUAAGUCAAUCAUUCAGAUUAAUCUGGGAGGCUAAUUCUAAAAUCGGAUUUUAUGAGAAUUGCUAGAUUUGGGGCUAGGUUAACCUCAUUUCCAAAAGAAAAACUCUUACUGGAGAGAAACCAUCAUGUUGGCUCAUUCUAUUGUGUUUAUAUAUUUCACAGUAAAAUGAUUCAGUCUUGCCAGGUUCCAUAUUAGGAGGAUUAGAACUACAUCACUCAAUAUUUUCUUUUGUCUGUUCUAAAAUAUUUAUCAAGUUAAUUUAUGGACUUAUGGAUUUUUUCCAUUCCAGGACUUCAUUUGCGGGGAGCCUUCAGAAAAAACAGGUCACUUGCAGUAAUAUAGAAGGACUAAACUGUGAUUCUGGAGACCCGGGUUUCUCUUUGCUGUUCAACCAGUGUAGUCUUUUGUGUGUGCUGUUAACAGUGAUUUCUGGCUCAGUGAAAUGUGAUAAUGACUUCAUAUUUGUGAAGAGCUAAGUAUCCUGAUAUUUUGAUCUUUUCAAGCAGAUAAUUUCAGGCAGAAAUGAUAUAGCUUGUCUUUUGUUAGGUCUCACUAGGGGAAAAAAAUCGCUCACAAGAGCCUUGCCUACCUCAACAAGAAGUGUCUCUACUUAUACAAAUGGCAUGGUUUCUUUUCUGGUUACUGGGUCACAGGUGGCUCGCCAUUUGCUUUGAGUUUGCAAAUAAAGUACAUCUUGGGUUUCCUUAUCUUUAAACAAGUAAAGAUAAAUUAGGUUAAAGUGGGAGAAGGUUCACAGGAUGAGAACAUCAAUUCAGCUCACAGCAGGUAUGGGUCUAAAGUGCCUCUCUGCAGGAAAGAAAGCCACCACCAGCAGUCCACCUGCUCUCAGGGGAAGGGACCAGGCAUUGGAAAGGCUGCCUCGGGAGAAGUGACUCAACAAAAUCAUAAGCCGCAUGUAGCUUUGUUUCCUCUUUCUAAUACGGGCAUAUUUAUUGCCAUCUCAAUUAUACCUAAUUCAAUUAAUGGAAGAAAAUGUACAUGAAAGAACUCCCAGAAACUAAAAUGGCUAACUGUAGGCAGGAUGUGUGAUUAAUAUUUAGAAUCUAUCAAACCCAGUACUGGCAGGGCUGUUCUCUCCCCAGUACUUACCAGAGAGGGAGUAGAGCUAAUGCACAGCCAUACUCCUC